CUCUUUCCAGUUCCAGAUUGUGAAGGGUUCCUGAAUAAGCAGCUUGUCUCCAUCCCCCUCUCUAGGGGCUCUUGGAUGGACCUUGCACUCUAGAAGGGACAAUGGACUUCUGGCUUUGGCCACUUUACUUCCUGCCAGGUGUCUGAAUCUCCCUGGCUCCAUGCCCCAUCUCUGAAGACCAGCUGUGAAUACGUGAGCCUCUACCACCAGCCUGCCGCCAUGAUGGAGGACAGUGAUUCAGAUGACUACAUCAAUGUUCCUGCCUGACAACUCCCCAGCUAUCCCCCAACCCCAGGCUCGGACUGUGGUGCCAAGGAGUCUCAUCUAUCUGCUGAUGUCCAAUACCUGCUUCAUGUGUUCUCAGAGCCCUCAUCACUUCCCAUGCCCCAUCUCGACUCCCAUCCCCAUCUAUCUGUGCCCUGAGCAUGGCUCUGCGCCCAGGUCCUCUUGCACACCUUGGCAGCCCCCUGUAGUUGACAGGUAAGCUGUAGGCAUGUACAGCAAUUGUCCCAAUGCCACUUGCUUCCUUUCCAAGCCGUCGAACAGACUGUGGGAUUUGCAGAGUGUUUCUU
rnacentral:sRNA from 1 species